AUGAAGCUGGAAUCGCUAGUAAUCGCGGAUCGGAAUGCCGCGGUGAAUACGUUCCCGGGUCUUGUACACACCGCCCGUCACACCAUGGGAGUUGGUAACGCCCGAAGUCAGUGACCCAACCAAACGGAGGGAGCUGCCGAAGGCGGGACCGGUAACUGGGGUGAAGUCGUAACAAGGUAUC
rnacentral:rRNA from 1 species